rnacentral:lncRNA from 1 species
ACACAAUGACAGCCGGAAUAAUAUGUCUCUAUUAGAGCCCAGCAACUCUACCACAGUAGGCCCCGGGUAUUGCAACAUAGCUGAAGCAUAAGACAGACACCUCGGAAUGGCAUUUAUGAAUAUGAUAGAGGUCCUUAAAGAGGAAAUGAAUACAUCUCCUAAAGAAAUCUAUGAAAACACAAACCUUAGAAGGAAAUAAAUAAGAGUUCAAGACCCAAAAGUGGAAAUAGAAUGAAUAAAGAGAAGAAAACGGCAUAGUGGAUGCAAGGGGAUCCACGAAGUCCUGGGAGGAGGAGAGGCCUGCUUGUUGAGUCAUUCAUCGCUUCAUCUGAAUUCUCCCUUGUCACCUUCUGCCUUGCAGCCAUCCCUUGCCUCUGUGGGCAUGCGUGGCUUUCUUCACUCCCUGCCACUUUGCCUUUGCCAACUGGACUGGGACAGUGCCCUGUGCUCUUAAUGGUUCCCAUUCUAUUACUCCUGUCCUUUCUCUCCCGUCAAACUCACCAGUUUAUGUCCUUCCUCCCCCCUGACAGUGUAGGAUGGAUUCAGAAGUAUUCGUUUCUGUGUUCCCUACCCUUGUUGGAGUCUGGCAACAGAACGACAUCGGGGUGUGCUUUUGUUAAAUCUGUGGGCAUUAAAAUGGCAUUGCUG